AUUGAACGCUGGCGGCAUGCUUUACACAUGCAAGUCGAACGGUAACAGGUUAAGCUGACGAGUGGCGAACGGGUGAGUAAUGCAUCGGAACGUGCCCGGUCGUGGGGGAUAACGCAGCGAAAGCUGCGCUAAUACCGCAUACGAUCUGAGGAUGAAAGCGGGGGACCGUAAGGCCUCGCGCGAUCGGAGCGGCCGAUGUCAGAUUAGGUAGUUGGGGGGGUAAAGGCUCACCAAGCCAACGAUCUGUAGCUGGUCUGAGAGGACGACCAGCCACACUGGGACUGAGACACGGCCCAGACUCCUACGGGAGGCAGCAGUGGGGGAUUUUGGACAAUGGGCGAAAGCCUGAUCCAGCAACGCCGCGUGCAGGAAGAAGGCCUUCGGGUUGUAAACUGCUUUUGUACGGAGCGAAAAGGUCUCCUCUAAUACAGGGGGCUCAUGACGGUACCGUAAGAAUAAGCACCGGCUAACUACGUGCCAGCCGCCGCGGUAA
rnacentral:rRNA from 1 species